AUUCUAUCACCUGGGCUUCUUAUCCCAGGCGACAAUUCCUUACAUUCAUCUUCCCCUCCAGGAAGUACUCUCGCUUUUCGUCCACCCGGCGAAGCCGUUUUUGUAGUGGACUCAUCGUGCGACCAUCCGGAUCUAUUAAUCGGGAUGGCGCCGGCUUCACUCACUUGACCUCCCGGAGCUACGUUACCCGGGGGCAAGCGUGGAACAUCACAACAUGGGGUUAACGUACCCCUACAAGCCGCGACAAGUUGCACCUCGAGCAUGGAGGUACUCGAGUGGGACAAUCCUUUACUAAAUUCAUCCGUUGAAUUCCCAGCCAACAAGGGCAAUACUCUAUCUGCAGGUGGCACCUUACCCGUACAAGUGAGCACCCCUUCCAAUCGUUGUGAAUUCGAAUUAAAAUCAACAUCAGACCGUACGGUUUUUUGUUGAGGAACAGGAUUCAUGCAGGUGUCUACGGGGUUUCGUGAAAGUGCGUCGGCGUUGGCGUUAACCUUUCCAGAUGUUGGAUCCUUGACAUUGUGUAACCAUACCAAGGGUCUAUGGUCCGUGAGCAAUGUAAAUUGUCGGCCAUAAAGUGAUCUGGAGGCAUACGCGACUGGGAGAUCUUUUCCCACUGGUCCCUGACUAAGAAUGGCGCCAAUGGCAUAAUUAGAAGCAUCCGUAGUAACGAGGAAUGACUGCGAAAAAUUCGGGAACUGUAAUAGAGGUUCAGCACAGAUGAUAUCUCUUAAGGUUUCGAAGGAAGUUUGCACGUCAGCUGUCCAACAAAAAGGUACGUCCCUUUUCAAAAGCCUAGUCAAGGGUUUGGCAAUCCGAGCCAUGUUGGGAAUGAACCGCCUAUAAUAGCCUACAAGACCCAGGAACUGUUUAAUAUUCUUUCUUGUCUUGGGUAUGGGAAACUGUUUUACUGCCUGAAUUUUCCCGGGAUCCGGUUUUACACCCUCGCUC